ACAGCAAGGGAGGGAAGCGGGAAGGGGAACUGGGAUUUGCUACUGCUCUACCAAAUUACAGCGUGCAAAGCUAGCUCCAGGUGGUGGGCUCCUGAGUGUCACCGCCAGGGUACAAACCUCAGUUGUGCCCUCUACUUACUGUGUGACCAUGUGUGAAUGGGCAAACUCUCUGAACUUGAGUUUGCCUCUCAGCAAAACAGUACCUACUUCCUGGGACUGUCAGGGGCACUGAAUGAGAUGACAAGCGACCCUUACCCCAGCACCUGGUACACAGCAAACACUCCAUCCAAUCCGGACACGAUUAUCAUUCUGCCAGAACUUCUGUGAAAUUUGGUUACAGGUCUGCACUCCUGAGCGAUGAAAGGGCACAGGCCUUAGAAAUAAGAAGACCCAGGUUGAAAACUGGCUCUGCCACCUAUGAUGACCACCUUCUUGAGUUUUCUGGGCCUCAGGCUCCCCCUGGAAAAUGGAGAUAAAGUAAACAACCGCAGAGGACUGCGGUGAGAAAUGAAGCACAUGGUGUUUGUAAAGUGCUUGGAGCAGCACUGGCCUGUCCCCCACUAGGUGAGGCCACAGCAAGGAGAUAGUCAUCUGCAACACAGGAAGAGGAGCUCCACCAUAACCUGCUCAUGCUGGCCCCUUGAUCUCAGGUGUCCAGCCCCCAGAACUACGAGAAAUAAAUGACUGAUGAGCAAGCUUCCCCCUCCCCGCCCCUGCCAUCUGUGGCAUUUUAUUAUGGGAGCCUGGACUCAUACAGGCGUUAUAUGAUUAGAACUGACAGACACCGAAGCCGGCUGAUUCAAGGGCGAGGUCCAGGCUGGAGAUACAAACCCAGGAGGCCUCAGCACGCGGACAAGUUAGUACAACAAAAGGGGGGUAAUAUACUUCCUACCUCACAGGUGGCUGUGAGGACUGAAAUAGAUACUUCACAUGGCCUGCUUAGCACUGUGGUAGGGCACGUAUGAAAGCUUGGUAAAUGGGACUGUUAACCUGCAGAAGAUCACACAAGGAUAUGCUCUUGGAAUCACAGAAUUUUGGAUAGAUUCUCUAGCUCAAAAACCUUAAUUUGUAGCUAGGGAGACUAAGCUAAGCCAAGAUUAUUGACUUGCCUGGCAUUUUUCUACCAUUAACGAUUGUUUUUUUUAAGAUUUACAGACCCAGCCAUAAAGGAGGAAGGUGAAGUUUAACCGUACCUUGAUAUUCAAUUAGACAGAAGGGUACCAAUAAACCUUGGAAAUGCCAACGCCAAAGAGCACUCUUUAGUCCUGAUUUUGUGACUCCUUCUUCAUCCAAUGCUGCUGGCCAGUCUCCUAAUUUGGUUUCCAUGAAAUGAUUCUCUCUCGAUUUCCUGAAGAGAAAGAGAGGGAAAGAGGAAACAUUAAAAGGCAAAAGGGAAAGUGACUGGGGUUGCAUCCCCUGGAAGCAGAGCCCAUGACAGGAUUGUAGGGUCCUGAGUCAGUGAAGGAAGCAGCACGGGGCAGGGCGGGUACCAAGAAGGAUGUGACCUCAAGUGGAGACGAGCCUCGUCUCCCGGGCAGCUCCAGAGCAGGAACUGCACCAGAAGUGGGUCCCACCUGGCGGAAGGAGAGCAGCUGCGCGUGCUCGCAUUGGUCAGUCAAUGGAAUGGGCAGUCAGGGCAGCGAGGGCGCAUUCCAGGGUGGGUUGUUCACAGGCAGCCCCUGUCUCACUGAGGGCAAUUCUGCAAGAAGGGGGCAGCUGUGAAUUAGCCCCCAACACUCACAGCAGCGAGAAGGUGGGUGCACCUGCUCCCCAGAAAGGGGAUCUGGGUAGAGACCCCAUUAUGCCCACCACGGAGACAGGGAGGGCAGAAGCGAGGACCGCUGUAUUCACCGAUCAUCGGAGAAGUGCCCUAGAGGCUUCAUUCUCAUGACUGCCAUCUUCCUAAAAACCCAACAAGGUCAGUGGGUAGGCAUUACUAAUUCCAGCUUAUUGAUGAGGAAAAAGGGAGCGUUUGUCCAAAAUUUCGAAGGAACAAUGAAGUGACCCCCCCACCCCCAGAAAACAACCAACCAAUGUGAGAAAGUGUCAAAUUAUUCACUUUUAAAGACCAGCCCAGAAGGACCUCAAAACCUCAAUUCUAGGAUUAGGGAGAAGGCUUCAGACAUCGAUUUCCUAUACUGCUUAAAUUUUCCAGGCCCCAAGUUCCAAGUCUAUCAAAUGGGCAUGGCAUUAAUGGACUGUGGUAGGCUGAGUAAUCGUCUCCAAAGAUUCCUACAGCCUACUUUUGGGAACCUGUGAAUGUUACCUUACAUGGCACAGGGGAUUUUACAGAUGUGAUUAAAGUAAGGGUCUUGAGGUGGAAAUUAUCCUGGAUUAUCUGGUGAAUUCUAAAUGUAGUCACAAAUGUCCUUAGAGAGAGAAGCAGAGAGAGACUGGCAACAGAAAAGAAGAAGGCCAUGUGACAACAGAAGCAGAUUCAGAGAAAGAAGAUGCCAAGCCUCUGGCUUUGAAGAUGAAGAAGGGGCCCACGAGCCAAGGAAUAUUCUAGAAGCAACAAACGUAAGGAAAUGGGACUCUCCUGGAGCCUCCAGAAGGAACUAGCCAAUACUUUUAUUUUAGCCCCGUAAGACUCUCUUUGAACUUCUGACUUCCAGAAUUGAGAAUAAAUCUGAAUUAUUCCAAGCCA